GUCCAGACUCCUACGGGAGGCAGCAGUGGGGAAUAUUGCACAAUGGGGGGAACCCUGAUGCAGCGACGCCGCGUGGGUGAAGGAGCACCUCGGUGCGUAAAGCCCUAUCGGCAGGGAAGAAAUUGGACGGUACCUGACUAAGAAGCCCUGGCUAACUACGUGCCAGCAGCCGCGGUAAUACGUAGGGGGCAAGCGUUAUCCGGAUUCACUGGGUGUAAAGGGAGCGUAGACGGCCAUGCAAGCCUGGAGUGAAAGCCCGGGGCCCAACCCCGGGACUGCUCUGGGAACUGUGCGGCUGGAGUGCGGGAGGGGCAGGCGGAAUUCCUGGUGUAGCGGUGAAAUGCGUAGAUAUCAGGAGGAACACCGGCGGCGAAGGCGGCCUGCUGGACCGCGACUGACGUUGAGGCUCGAAAGCGUGGGGAGCUAACAGGAUUAGAUACCCUGUAA
rnacentral:rRNA from 1 species